rnacentral:rRNA from 1 species
CUAACAAGGAUUCCCCUAGUAACUGCGAGUGAAGCGGGAAAAGCUCAAAUUUGAAAUCUGGCAGUCUAUUUUUUCUUCUUUGGCUGUCCGAAUUGUAAUCUAGAGAAGUGCUUACCUGCACUGGACCAUGUAUAAGUCUCCUGGAAUGGAGCGUCGCAGAGGGUGAGAAUCCCGUCUUUGACAUGGACUGCCAGUGUGUUGUGGUGUGCUCUCAAAGAGUCGAGUUGUUUGGGAAUGCAGCUCUAAAUGGGUGGUAAACUCCAUCUAAAGCUAAAUAUUGGCGAGAGACCGAUAGCGAACAAGUACCGUGAGGGAAAGAUGAAAAGGACUUUGGAAAGAGAGUUAAACAGUAUGUGAAAUUGUUGAAAGGGAAACGCUUGAAGUCAGUUGUGUCGGUUAGGGAUCAACCUAGCUUUUUUUGCUGGGUGAAUUUCCUAGUCUGACAGGCCAACAUCAGUCUUGACUGCUGGAAAAGAGCAGGGGGAAUGUGGCACCUUUGGGUGUGUUAUAGCCUUUUGUCAUAUGUGGCAGUUGGGACUGAGGGAUGCAGCGUGCCGCGAGGCUGGGUUUCGACCACGUUCACGCUUAGGAUGUUGGCUUUUAAUGGCUUCAAUCGACCCGUCUUGAAACACGGACCAAGGAGUCUAACAUGCCUGCGAGUGUUUGGGUGGAAAACCCUUGCGCGCAAUGAAAGUGAAAGUUGAGAUCCCUGUCAUGGGGAGCAUCGACGCCCGGACUUGAGCUUUUAGCGACGGAUCCGCGGUAGAGCAUGCAUGUUGGGACCCGAAAGAUGGUGAACUAUGCCUGAAUAGGGCAAAGCCAGAGGAAACUCUGGUGGAGGCUCGUAGCGAUUCUGACGUGCAAAUCGAUCGUCAAAUUUGGGUAU